rnacentral:rRNA from 1 species
GACGAACGCUGGCGGCGUGCCUAACACAUGCAAGUCGAGCGAGUGGAGUUCUUCGGAACAAAGCUAGCGGCGGACGGGUGAGUAACACGUGGGCAACCUGCCUCAUAGAGGGGAAUAGCCUUCCGAAAGGAAGAUUAAUACCGCAUAAGAUUGUAGCUUCGCAUGAAGUAGCAAUUAAAGGAGCAAUCCGCUAUGAGAUGGGGCCCGCGGCGCAUUAGCUAGUUGGUGAGGUAACGGCUCACCAAGGCGACGAUGCGUAGCCGACCUGAGAGGGUGAUCGGCCACAUUGGGACUGAGACACGGCCCAGACUCCUACGGGUGGCUG